GCCUGUGGCUUUCAACAAAUAUGGUGGUGGGAUGGUCAAAAUCAUGAUCCUUCUCAAAUUCCAAUUUGAAAUAUUCUUUCAACAGAUGUGUCCUAUAGUGUUUGCUACAGACUGAGUUCUAUAGCCCCAAAAUCAUAUAUUGAAGCCUUAACACCCCGUACCUGAAAAUGUGACCAUUUGGAGAUAAGACCUUUAUAGAAAUAGUUACAUUACAAUGGGAUUAUUAAGGUGGGCCCUAAUCUAAUAUGACUAGUGUUCUUACAAGAAUAGAAAAUGAGAAUAUAGACAACAUAAAGAGGCACCAUGUGAAAACACUGAAAGAAAACAGCUAUUUACAGGUCAAGGAGACAGGCCUCAGAAGAAGCAAUCCUUCGGACAGCUUGAUUUUGGACUUCCAGCCUCUGCUGCCUGGCAGUUUGGCUAUAUUUGUGCAAAGAAAAGUACUAUUCGCUGAUUCAGCGUUGAGUCUUUCAGGAUGCAGAGGCUGUCGGAGAAUCACAGUAACUCGCCAUACAUUUGGAUGCCUCUGACACCGGGUAGACCAUAUGAUAACCUAGUGCUCAGGAAGUAUUCAGGUUUCUUCCUAAAUAAUUAUACUCUUGAAAACUUUAAAAUUAUGUCCCGUGAACAGAAUAGGUAGCUUCAUUUGGGGUCACUGUGUAUCAGUAACUAAAUGUCUUUUUAAUCUUUGUUUCUAAUUUUGGAAUGAAGUCUUUAGAAACUGAAAACCACAGGGUAGUGAAAUGUAACCUUUUUCUUACUCAUUUCUUAUUUGAAAUAUGCUUGAAGUUUUGGAAAAUCAACAAAAAACUAAUUGAAAA
rnacentral:lncRNA from 10 species